ACAGACUUGAAUUGAAUGAACACUAUAAAGAGAGUAUGAUCUUACACAAUUGCAGGUUACAUUCAGUUGAACUACAUCCUAAACUAUCCUAGAUCCUACCUCCAAGGAGUUUAGCUCCUCAUCGUUCUUCGUACGCUUCCUCGCUUCAUCGCCAUGGCUGGUGGAUCCAUGCUCUCGAUGUGCUUGGAGCUCUCCACUGGAGUGUUGAAUCACGAUCUUCAAGUUCCAAAACCAGAAUGUAGUGACAAGUUGCAGAAUUUUCCAACCCGAAAACAGAAUUAUGCAGAAAAUAUAUAUACAGAAUGCAACCACGCCGCGCGCCAGAUCUAUCACGCCGCGCGUGGUUGCAGUUCCAUCAACUACGCCGCGCGUGGUAACAGAAUCACGCGGCGCGUGAUCAAGUCAGAGAGCAAUCUUCUUCUUCAAUCAAGGUUUCACGCCGCGCGUGGUCAAAGCUACGCCGCGCGUGGUCAAGUCAGAGAGCAACCCAGUUCCUGAGCAAAGCUUCACGCCGCGCGUGGUCAGGUAUCACGCCGCGCGUGAUCAGAGUGAAAAUCUUGGCUACCUGUGAGCUCCAUCAUGCGGCGCGUGAUGGGCUACGCCCCCAGCGUAGUGAAAAUCAUUCAUUUCCUGCAGUUUUU
rnacentral:lncRNA from 1 species